AUUGAACGCUGGCGGCGUGCCUAACACAUGCAAGUCGAGCGGUAACAGGUGUAGCAAUACAUGCUGACGAGCGGCGAACGGGUGAGUAAUGCUUUGGAAUCUUCCCAGUAGUGGGGAAUAACCAGUCGAAAGAUUGGCUAAUACCGCAUACGUCUGUAAAGGGAAAGCGGGGGACUCGCCUCUUCUUCGGAAGAGAGGCCUUGCGCUAUUGGAUGAGCCAAAGCGGAUUAGCUAGUUGGUGGGGUAAUGGCCUACCAAGGCGACAAUCCGUAGCUGGUCUGAGAGGACGACCAGCCACACCGGAACUGAGACACGGUCCGGACUCCUACGGGAGGCAGCAGUGGGAAUAUUGGACAAUGGGGAAACCCUGAUCCAGCGACGCCGCGUGUGUGAAGAAGGCCUGCGGGUUGUAAAGC
rnacentral:rRNA from 1 species